rnacentral:rRNA from 1 species
AUAUGAAGGCUGCACCGCCAACAGGCGGCAAGGCUGGAGUAUUUUAUUACCCUUGUCUUUUGCGCACUUGUUGUUUCCUGGGCGGGUUCGCCCGCCUCCAGGACCACAUGAUAAACCUUUUUUAUGCAGUUGCAAUCAGCGUCAGUACAACAAAUGUAAAUCAUUUACAACUUUCAACAACGGAUCUCUUGGUUCUGGCAUCGAUGAAGAACGCAGCGAAAUGCGAUACGUAGUGUGAAUUGCAGAAUUCAGUGAAUCAUCGAAUCUUUGAACGCACAUUGCGCCCUUUGGUAUUCCAAAGGGCAUGCCUGUUCGAGCGUCAUUUGUACCCUCAAGCUUUGCUUGGUGUUGGGCGUUUUUUGUCUUUGGUUUUGUCCAAAGACUCGCCUUAAAACGAUUGGCAGCCGGCCUACUGGUUUCGCAGCGCAGCACAUUUUUGCGCUUGCAAUCAGCAAAAGAGGACGGCACUCCAUCAAGACUCUAUAUCACUUUUGACCUCGGAUCAGGUAGGGAUACCCGCUGAACUUAAGCUAAUCAAUAAGCGGAGGAA